rnacentral:lncRNA from 1 species
GUGAUCUCGUAUUUAACCAUCAAUGUCUGAGCAGUGGAACACAGCCAUUAUCUUCAGGUGAUCUCGCAUUUAACCAUCAAUACACGUUAAGAUCACCCGCACAGCUGAUCUCAACCGCUCCCUAAAAUCUGAGCUUCAUUUGAGGUGUAAACUUAGUCCUCCUCUCAACCCCAAAAUUUCUAAAACAUAUUCACCCUCCCUACAGGGUGUUAUCUUCAGUUGAAAUAAAACCUGGUAAUCGAGCAGACUAAGGGUUGAUUGAACUAUUUAACAAUCAUUCAGUACAACUGAAAAAAAGUAAUUUCUCCUAUAAGACAGCAAUUAUACUGUGGCAAUAUCAUCAUACAGGUUAUAUCAAUAUCUCAUAUAGAUUAUAUCAAUAUAUUAUACAGGUUAUAUCAAUAUAUCAUACAGGUUAUAUCAGUAUAUCAUACAGGUUAUGUCAAUAUAUCAUACAGGUUAUAUCAAUAUAUCAUACAGGUUAUAUCAAUAUAUCAUACAGGUUAUAUCAAUAUAUCAUACAGGUUAUAUCAAUAUAUCAUACAGGUUAUAUCAAUAUAUCAUACAGGUUAUAUCAAUAUAUCAUACAGGUUAAAUCAAUAUAUCAUACAGGUUAUAUCAAUAUAUCAUACAGAUUAAAUCAAUAUCAUCAUACAGAUUAUAUCAAUAUCAUCAUACAGAUUAUAUCAAUAUAUCAUACAGAUUAUAUCAGUAUAUCAUACAGGUUAUAUCAAUAUAUCAUACAGAUUAUAUCAAUAUAUCAUACAGGUUAUAUCAAUAUAUCAUACAGAUUAUAUCAAUAUAUCAUACAGAUUAUAUCAAUAUAUCAUACAGAUUAUAUCAAUAUCAUCAUACAGAUUAUAUCAAUAUAUCAUACAGAUUAUAUCAAUAUAUCAUACAGGUUAUAUCAAUAUAUCAUACAGAUUAUAUCAAUAUAUCAUACAGGUUAUAUCAAUAUAUCAUACAGAUUAUAUCAAUAUAUCAUACAGGUUAUAUCAAUAUAUCAUACAGGUUAUAUCAAUAUAUCAUACAGAUUAUAUCAAUAUAUCAUACAGGUUAUAUCAAUAUCAUCAUACAGAUUAUAUCAAUAUAUCAUUCAGAUUAUAUGAAUGGAAAACUCAUUUUAGUGCACUAAUUACUUUUUCAUUUCCAAUUGAUGUAACCCAUUACCUUGUCUAUUAAUUUGUCUAAUAAAGCAUGACUU